rnacentral:rRNA from 1 species
GAGGUCAGCCUGCCCAGUGAAUCUUAAACGGCCGCGGUAUCCUAACCGCGCGAAGGUAGCAUAAUCACUUGUUCUUUAAAUGGGGACUCGUAUCAACGGCAUCACGAGGGCUUUACUGUCUCCUCUUUUUGAUCAGUGAAAUUGAUCUUCCCGUGAAGAAGCGGGAAUAUUUUUAUAAGACGAGAAGACCCCAUGGAGCUUUAAACCAAAUAGCAACUUAACCACUUAUCCCACAAUAAAUUUAAGCCCUGUUAUACGGUUUUCGGUUGGGGUGACCGCGGAGUAAAGCAUAUCCUCCACGACGGAAAGAACACAAUCUUUAUUUAAGAACCACAUUUCUAAAAAUUAGUAUACUAACGUUUACUGACCCGACAAUCGAUCAACGAACCAAGUUACCC